GGGUGAGUAACACGUGGGUGAUCUGCCCUGUACUUCGGGAUAAGCCUGGGAAACUGGGUCUAAUACCGGAUAUGACCUUACAUCGCAUGGUGUUUGGUGGAAAGAUUUAUCGGUACAGGAUGGGCCCGCGGCCUAUCAGCUUGUUGGUGGGGUAAUGGCCUACCAAGGCGACGACGGGUAGCCGGCCUGAGAGGGCGACCGGCCACACUGGGACUGARACACGGCCCAGACUCCUACGGGAGGCAGCAGUGGGGAAUAUUGCACAAUGGGCGAAAGCCUGAUGCAGCGACGCCGCGUGAGGGAUGACGGCCUUCGGGUUGUAAACCUCUUUCGACAGGGACGAAGCGCAAGUGACGGUACCUGUAGAAGAAGCACCGGCCAACUACGUGCCAGCAGCCGCGGUAAUACGUAGGGUGCGAGCGUUGUCCGGAAUUACUGGGCGUAAAGAGCUUGUAGGCGGUUUGUCGCGUCGUCCGUGAAAACUUGGGGCUCAACCCCAAGCUUGCGGGCGAUACGGGCAGACUUGAGUACUGCAGGGGAGACUGGAAUUCCUGGUGUAGCGGUGAAAUGCGCAGAUAUCAGGAGGAACACCGGUGGCGAAGGCGGGUCUCUGGGCAGUAACUGACGCUGAGAAGCGAAAGCGUGGGUAGCGAACAGGAUUAGAUACCCUGGUAGUCCACGCCGUAAACGGUGGGCGCUAGGUGUGGGUUUCCUUCCACGGGAUCCGUGCCGUAGCUAACGCAUUAAGCGCCCCGCCUGGGG
rnacentral:rRNA from 1 species